UCCCUCACUGACCUUUCCCUGGCAUCCUGCAGGCUGCAUCUCCUCCUGUGCUGUGUGUCUUGCAGCCACCUGUCUGACAGUCUGCUGACAGAAAAGAGCAGGACAGCAGGAUCUCUGGAAAUCCUAGUCUCAGUAUUGGAGGAAGGACUUGACUCCAAGAACAUGAGGCAGUGAGCAGGUGGUUCCUCACAGCCUUCAACCCAGAGGCUCAUUAAAAUCCAGUAUGAGAAGCACCAGCAUCAACAUCAAGCAGAAGGGAGAUGUGAAGACCAGGAUGCCACCACCAGAGGAGGAGGACCCCAGGGCAAGAAGAGCAGCAGAGGAAGGCUUUACUCAGGAAAUGACAUAGAAGACCUCAGGGGUUUCAGGAACUAAGGAAACACGGACAGAAUCCUGUGUCAAUCUGAGUGAGAGUCUCCACCCAGUCUCCACCUGAUUUGCUCCUCUUCCGUGUCCUUUCUGCCUGAGCGAUCUGUGAUAAUUCAGAGUGGCCAACGUGAUUCAGGCAUGUGUGGUUUUCAGGCGUGAUUC